rnacentral:rRNA from 1 species
UGGGGAAUAUUGGACAAUGGGCGAAAGCCUGAUCCAGCCAUGCCGCGUGUGUGAAGAAGGCCUUCGGGUUGUAAAGCACUUUAAGCGGGGAGGAAGGGUUUCUGGCUAAUAUCCAGGAGCAUUGACGUUACCCGCAGAAUAAGCACCGGCUAACUCUGUGCCAGCAGCCGCGGUAAUACAGAGGGUGCAAGCGUUAAUCGGAAUUACUGGGCGUAAAGCGCGCGUAGGCGGUUUGUUAAGUCGGAUGUGAAAUCCCCGGGCUCAACCUGGGCACUGCAUCCGAUACUGGCUGACUAGAGUGUGGGAGAGGAAGGUAGAAUUCCAGGUGUAGCGGUGAAAUGCGUAGAGAUCUGGAGGAAUACCGAUGGCGAAGGCAGCCUUCUGGCCUGACACUGACGCUGAGGUGCGAAAGCAUGGGGAGCAAACAGG